GACAGGGUGUCUCAGUGGAAAGAGCCCGGGCUUGAGAGUCAGAAGUCCUGGGUUCCAAUCCCAGCUCUGUCG
rnacentral:tRNA from 1 species